AACGAACGCUGGCGGCAUGCCUAACACAUGCAAGUCGAACGAGAUCUUCGGGUCUAGUGGCCCACGGGUGCGUAACGCGUGGGAAUCUGCCCUUUGGUUCGGAAUAACAGUUGGAAACGACUGCUAAUACCGGAUGAUGACGAAAGUCCAAAGACUUAUCGCCAGAGGAUGAGCCCGCGUAGGAUUAGCUAGUUGGUGUGGUAAAGGCGCACCAAGGCGACGAUCCUUAGCUGGUCUGAGAGGAUGAUCAGCCACACUGGGACUGAGACACGGCCCAGACUCGUACGGGAGGCAGCAGUGGGGAAUAUUGGACAAUGGACGAGAGCAUGAUCCAGCAAUGCCGCGUGAGUGAUGAAGGCCUUAGGGUUGUAAAGCUCUUUUACCCGGGAUGAUAAUGACAGUACCGAGAGAAUAAGCUCCGGCUAACUCCGUGCCAGCCGCCGCAGUAA
rnacentral:rRNA from 1 species